UGGGGAAUAUUGCACAAUGGGCGCAAGCCUGAUGCAGCCAUGCCGCGUGUGUGAAGAAGGCCUCCGGGUUGUAAAGCACUUUCAGCGAGGAGGAAGGUGGUGAACUUAAUACGUUCAUCAGUUGACGUUACUCGCAGAAGAAGCACCGGCUAACUCCGUGCCAGCAGCCGCGGUAAUACGGAGGGUACAAGCGUUAAUCGGAAUUACUGGGCGUAAAGCGCACGCAGGCGGUUUGUUAAGUCAGAUGUGAAAUCCCCGGGCUCAACCUGGGAACUGCAUUUGAAACUGGCAAGCUAGAGUCUCGUAGAGGGGGGUAGAAUUCCAGGUGUAGCGGNGAAAUGCGUAGAGAUCUGGAGGAAUACCGGUGGCGAAGGCGGCCCCCUGGACGAAGACUGACGCUCAGGUGCGAAAGCGUGGGGAGCAAACAGGAUUAGAUACCCGUGGUAAGUCCACGCUGUAAACGAUGUCGAUUUGGAGGUUGUGCCCUUGAGGCGUGGCUUCCGGAGCUAACGCGUUAAAUCGACCGCCUGGGGAGUACGGCCGCAAGGUUAAAACUCAAAUGAAUUGACGGGGUCAUAGC
rnacentral:rRNA from 1 species